CCACCUGCUCAGAAAAUCGAACCUUCACAGGAUUGGACCUCAACUUGGCCUUCUUCGCAGCACUGAUGAAAGCAGAUUUGGGGGACUGGAAAAAGAACAGAGAGAUGGGGUCUUCAUGGCCCUGCAACUUCCUCUUCAGCUGAGCUUGGAGAGGCAUCUUCUGGAAAACAUGGUGGUAUCUGGAUUCUUUUUCUGGUUGUCCAAACAGUUGCUUUUCCCCAGUGGGCUGGAAUGGAGACACCUGUCACCCAUUCUAGCAGGUCAGGAGGGAGCAGGGGGAGAGACCAAGGUCAUCUUUCCUUUCACAAAUACCUGGAAGCCUAGAGUCACCUUGCAAAAGACCAACCCCAUAAUGCUUCAAAGAGGGAACUGCAGAGGACCCUCUAUACAGCUGAAGCUAUAGUCAAUAGAUUCAGACAUGUUGUCUAA
rnacentral:lncRNA from 1 species